AUACGGAGGAUGCGAGCGUUGUCCGGAAUUAUUGGGCGUAAAGCGCGCGCAGGUGGUUCCUUAAGUCUGAUGUGAAAGCCCCCGGCUCAACCGGGGAGGGUCAUUGGAAACUGGGGAACUUGAGUGCAGAAGAGGAUAGUGGAAUUCCAAGUGUAGCGGUGAAAUGCGUAGAGAUUUGGAGGAACACCAGUGGCGAAGGCGGCUGUCUGGUCUGUAACUGGCACUGAGGCGCGAAAGCGUGGGGAGCAAACAGGAUUAGGUACCCUGGUGUGCCACGCCGUAAACGAUGAGUGCUAAGUGUUGGGGGGUUUCCGCCCCUCAGUGCUGCAGCUAACGCAUUAAGCACUCCGCCUGGGGAGUACGGUCGCAAGACUGAAACUCAAAUGAAUUGGCGGGG
rnacentral:rRNA from 1 species